CCUACGGGUGGCUGCAGUGAGGAAUAUUGGUCAAUGGGCGGGAGCCUGAACCAGCCAAGUAGCGUGAAGGAUGACUGCCCUACGGGUUUUACACUUCUUUUAUAAAGGAAUAAAGUGAGGCACGUGUGCCUUUUUGUAUGUACUUUAUGAAUAAGGAUCGGCUAAUUCCGUGCCAGCAGCCGCGGUAAUACGGAGGAUCCGAGCGUUAUCCGGAUUUAUUGGGUUUAAAGGGAGCGUAGAUGGGUUGUUAAGUCAGGGGUGAAAUUUUGCGGCUCAACCGUUAAAUUGCAGUUGAUACUGGCAGCCUUGAGUACAGGUAAGGUAGGCGGAAUUCGUGGUGUAGCGGUGAAAUGCUUAGAUAUCACGAAGAACUCCGAUUGCGAAGGCAGCUUACUGAACUGCCACUGACAUUGAUGCUCGAAAGUGUGGGUAUCAAACAGGAUUAGAUACCCUAGUAGUC
rnacentral:rRNA from 1 species